CCGUUGCAAGCCCGUGAUCCGCUGGGUCCGCACCCCCCAGGGCGGGGCCGCGGCUGUCACCUCCGGCACGGUGAGGUGAGGACACCGAGCUCAGGGCGCCUGUGAAAGGGUCCCCUCUUGACCUUGCCUCAGCCUUGCCCCGGGAGCGCGGCCACACGGACAGCAGGGGCUCCCUGGCAAAGGCCCUUGGGCCGGGUCACACCCACAGGCGCGCAGAGGGGAAGGACAUGCCCGCUUGAGGGGGGCAGAAACCGGGCCCCGAAGAAGGAGCCGCAGGCUCAGAGCUGGGAUCGUGCAGGUGCUGGGGCCAUGGCGGCCGGGCACACACAAGGACACCGCGGUAGAGACGCCGUGCACACAGGGCCGCGGGCCUGGCCGUCUGGAGCCCGAGGGGAGCCGGUCACCCCUCUGCUCAGAACCCUGACAGCUCCCUAUCUACUCAGCAUAAAGGCCAGAGGCUUCCAGGUAACUCAGAGGCUCAGGGUGAUGCGCCUUUGCUGCCUGCACAUCGCCCCUCUCAGCGGUCACUCACUCUCCUUGGACCACCCUGGCUCUUGGCUGUUCCUGGAAGGCACAGGCACCCCAGGGCCUUUGAACCUGCUGUUCCUUCUGCCCUGUAUGCUCUUCCUCCCACAUAUCGCCAGGGCUGCCUCCCUUACCUCUUUCAUGUCUUCCGCCGAAUGUCAGCUUCAUAUGAGAUCUCCCCUGGUCCUGCUCUAAAAUUUCAAAACUCCUCCCCGAAGGGUGCCUGUUCUCCUCUCCUAAUUAACCAUCUCCGUCUUCAUUGCCAUCUAACACCACACACAUUAUUAGUUUGCCCCAUCUCCUGUCUGUCUUCUCAACAAGAACCCAAGCUCCCGAAGGGUAACAACUUUAUCUUCUUCACUGCUGUCUUCGGGGCAGGAAGGGAGAAGGCUGUCAGUGACAUCUGUGGGCAGAGGGCACGGCCACUCGCCUGGGUGAGGCUGCCUCUGUGGCCUUGGCUCAGCCUCCAGGUGACCUUGAGCAAGUCACUGUCCCUGCUGAGGGCUUCCGGACAGGACCCAGGAGAUUCAGUCCAUGGUCAGGAAUCAUGAAGUCAUAAUGGAAGGGCAUGGUGGAACAAAACCUGUGCAGCUGGAUGUUUGAGACCUUGAUAUGGGCAUUUCUGGGCCACCUUAGACUCGCCUACUUUCUGCUGUGGUUUUCAAGUUUCCUAGAAGAUAUUUUCACUCACCCUGUGAGGGAGAUGCCGGCAAUAAUGCGCAAGACAUUGAACAACGAAAGGAGACGUUGUCCCACGGAGGGAGGUCUGGACUGGACUGUGGUGCCCACCGCACACCCUUGCCAGGCUCCCUCCACUAAACUGUCAUCCUGGCUGGUGUAGCCACGCACUCAGCAGGCAGGAGCAAGAGCCCAAGUGUCAAGCCUGUCUGUGUUUAUGGUUAUUUGUAAUCCCACCAGUGUUCUUAUCCUGCUCCGGAGGGCUGGAUUAAUCAGACUGGAAACGUGAUCGGUCAUGAGCUCAGCCCUGUCCCGUCCACCCUAUAACCUGACUCCAGGCACACUGGGCUUUUCUUCUCCCCUUAGCAGUCCUGACAUCCCCUCGGGGCUGUGAAAUUUCCAUCACUUUCAUACUCCUCUUUCACCUGAUGACCCACACACCCCCAGUAGCUUCUUUCUCUUUCUGUCAAGCAGAGAUCAUUACACCUGUGUAGUUCCCUGCCACUUUGCCCCUAAAAUAGUAAAGGGGUGGGGAGGGUACACGCAGCUUCCUUUUCUCCACUGCCUGCCAAGGAGGGCACUCCUUUCCUAGAAGAAAUAUACAGCCCACCCCCUUCCUCUACAAUGCCCUGGGGACGUCUCUGACUCCACCCCACUGCGAUCAGAUGUCCACUGUUUACGCUAGACUGGGCAGAACCUGCUUUGGCCCUUCCUACAAUGUCCUAGCUAAUCAGGCUCACUCCGUGACUUUAGUCAUUAUUGCUAAGGUGAUAAGGCCUCAUCUCCAGGCUAGAAUCUCUUCCCGAACCUCAAAUCCAUGCCCCAGGAUUCCCCACACUACACAGCCCCACCCUGAGCAUCCCCCUGAGGUGCUGGCCCCCAUCUUUCCCCUUUCCCUCCCCUAAUUAAUAGCCCUGAUGCAGCCUUGGAAGUCUGCUUCACAUCCAGCGUGUCUCUUCCACACCAAGGCUUCCAUUUCUGGUCCAGGCCUCCUCCUCUUUCCCCAGGCCACCCUGACAGCCCCUCACCCAGUUCCUGGUGCUAGAGCAUUCAAUCCCAUCACACCAUCUCCCUCUGCUUAAGAUCUCUUAAUUUGUCUGCAACUCAACUUGAUUAAAGUUAUGCAAGAAUAAAGUUAGUACAUUAGACUAUCAGAUAACCAUGAAAAGGGCAGGGAUGAAGGCCAGGGUACCUUUACUCAAAUAGCACCACAAUUCUCAUGUUUUGCUGUGUGUGUGUGUGUGUGUGUGUUUACGUUUUGCUUUGCUUUGUGCUAUUAGGGAUGGAACCCAGGGCCUUGUAUAUGCUAGGCAACCACCCUAUCACCAAGCCACACUCGCAGCCUGCACUGGAAAUUUUGUUUCUCCUUUUCCCCGAUGAAUCUUCUUCACUCUCUCCUAAUUCAUACCCAUUUCCUCCAGGGAACAGGCAACCUGUCUACUCACCACUCCCAAGCUUUAUAUUCAUUGUGUUUGUCUAGCUGUUAUCCUCCAUACCAGCUACCACCUUUGGCUCUAGGUUAGAAAAAAAAAAAUUCCAGUUACAUUUGCUUGCAUGAGGACUAAUCAGUUACACCAGGUAGUGGGGGAAGUCAGUGGAAAAAAGACAAAGAGCUGCUGCUUCCAGGCCUCUGAGAAGAGCUGCCACAGUCAGGCUGGGCAGACAGGGCAGAAAGGCCAGGGUUAGGGUUAGGGUCAGGAUUAGGGUUAGGAUCAGGAUUAGGCACCAGAUUCAACUUGGUGCCUUUUUCCUAAGAAGAGAAAACAGACCAAACUUGGUGCUCAAACGCAAACCUUUCCUGGGAGCUUCAUUCAAGGUGAAGCCAUCACACGGUCUUUGUCCUGGAGGCCCAGUCAUCAAGUAGACAGCGCUUGCUAUUAUGGCUUUGCAAAGCUGCCAAGUCCAGGAAGAUUGUGGAAGCUUUCUGACUCUGCUUCCCGUACAUUUCUAAGUUGGUUGCAGGCCAGGGCUUCCACUGCCCAGGUGCAGCCAGCCUAAUGCUAGGGUGUUGACAGGUGCCAGGCAGGUAUGAGAGAGAGCCUUGUUCUGCCACAGAGCACUGAAGUAUCUGUUCUGAACUCCUGUCACCUUGACUGAUGCUUAGAACACUUAGGACUCAGCUCCAGACUGGUCGCACCUUGGGACUUCACUCUCAUUCUCAAUGCCGGCUCCUCCAGGCUCUGUGCACCUGAGGACAGCUGUUGCCUAUGUAGCCUUUGCCUCUCAGCAGCCAGCCUGGGCCCAUGGGGACUGGGAGCUCUGUGACACCAACUUGAUGUGCUACAUAGCUUGGGCCCGGGGGCCUCUGAUUAAAAAAAAAAAAAAUACAGUGUUGCUUCCAUGUGCCCGUACUUGAUCAUCCCCAUUUCAAAUUGGAGUAAAACUGAGGUUCUAAGAGGUUAAGU
ensembl:lncRNA